UCCUCAGCAUAUGAUCUCAGUCUCCACCCCCGUGUGCUGGCGUGGAGGCCCUUCUCUUCCAACAUGGAGUCCAGUUCUCACACCUUGGUUCUGCACUGACCUCUGACUUACUCUUAUCAACAGUAUGUAGUACAAAUGAUGCUGUUUCAGACUUGAGUCCCAUACUCUCACUCCUCCUUCUGCCAUGAACCAGGCAGUGGACUCACUGGAUAAAGCAAUGGCCUCAACCCGUGAGGAAAGAAACCAUGGAGGAAACCAAGGCCCACCAGAGCCAAGACAACCAUCAAUCCCCAGAGGCAGCUCUGCCCUGUGACCUAUUGUCAUUGCAAGAGAGACCUAGCUAUGACUCAAUAACCACCCAGCAGAGCCCAGCCCAAGCUGCUCUCCCACAGAGCCACAAGCUUGUGGGGACUCAGGCGGCUGCCACGGGCAGCUAAGAAGGAUCUGCUGUGUACUGGAUUCGGAUAUGAGUUCCUCAGAAACGUCCUCUCUUCCUCUGAGUGUUCCUGGACAUUGGCCCAGGCUCAUUUCUUCCUGAGGAGGGUGGAAUCUCAUUACAGGAAGCUGUGGACAUGGAACCCUCAUUACGGAAUGGAGGCCAAAGGCUCUUGUUUCCUGUCAGUCCCAAUCAAGGCUAGGGGCCAUUGAUAUGGCUCUGCAGCUCAAGGGACAAGCCUGGCAACCUGAGCUCCAUGCCCAGAGCCCACAUGAAAGUGGAAAAGGAAGGAGGAACCAACUCUACAAAGCUAGUCUCCACCUGUGUGCCAUGUUUGUUUAGCAGGCUAAGUUACUGAAAACCAUACAGUCAGCCCUGUGCCCAGAUUCUCCAUUCAAGAAUUCAACCAACCGAGGACCAACAGUAUUGGUGGGAACUGUGUCUGGUCUAUGCGGAGCAUAUCCACACUGCUUCCUGGCAUUGUUUUCUGUCAAUGCAGCACAGCAACUGUUGGCGCCGCACGGGUGGUAUGUCAGGAGCUAACAUUUCCCAUUCUGACUAAUGUGGCAUUUGAACUGUUGUUACUGCAGAAGAAAGCCCUCCCAACGCUUUUAACAUCUUUUAGCUCCCCUGCCUCAGUCUAUUUGUGAUACAUCAACACGAGAACAUGCAAAUUUUAAAGCUAAAUCGUCGAUGCAUGUCAACCCACAUCCAAGCUACUCCCUGUCAGUGCUCCAGAGGACAUAGCAAGAGAAGGUGGGAGGACCUGGGCAUGUGAUGAGAACAAAAUGCUAGGAACGACAGAACCUUGGCAUCUAAAGAAGAUCUCAAAGACCAAGUUCAGAACUGUUGGAAAUAGUGCGUGGUUGUACUUCUGAGUUAGAACACUCACCUGUUCGGAGCAGAACACAGGGCGCAUUGUUAGCGCUACACAAACCCCACUCUAAGGAAGCAGUGGAACCAAGUGAUGCCAAGGAGAGAGGCGCCUGGGCAGGAAAGAACCAGCCAGGCAGAGCCACCAAGGAGCAGGAGAAUUUGUAUCUCUUUCUUGGAGCUAAGUUGAAUCCGUGUAGCCACAGCCCCACAUCUGCUAUGAUGAGGACCCCGAGUCAUCCCUCAGAGAGAAAGACAUCUUGGAAGCCUUUAUGAUGAGAAGGACUUUGCUGACACCCCAAGCACAUUCCAGAACUUCUCAGAGUAGCAGGAAAGCAUAGAGGCGUCUAUUUCACCUGCCCUCUCAACACUGGCAGACACUGAGGUCACCGGGGGCAUUUGUGCUGAGUGAGGAAGACCCUGCAAGAGAAGGAGUGCUUGGGGCAGUGUCCCCAGCUGAACUAAGGACUCCUCCAGAGCAGCACCUCGAAAGGUUCACAGCACCUCAACACCACAGUGAGGACCAGGCCUCCAACACACGGACCACAAGGGACAGGUCACAUUCUGGUCAGAGAACUCAUCUUGUUGACACACUGGUUAAUCAAAUUAAUGAGAGACUGCUUGAAAAAGAACAGGAAAGCAACCUGAAGAUGAACAGAAAUAAGACACAGGCUAGAAAGGGGAUUCAAGAGCUCCCUCUAAAUAUGCCCAGUGGAUGAAGAUCCUACAGCAGCAAUGUUUCCUGAGGAUCCAGAAUAUCUUGCUGCUGCUUGCCUGCCUGUGAAUGGCUCCCACCCCACUGUGAGCUCUGUACUGGCCUGGAUCUCUUGCUAAUGUAAAGUGCACCAUAGAACGUUAGUAAAGAGGACCAGAGGCCCCAGGCCUGCUCAUAAAUGAGGGGACAGAAAUCAGCUACACUGUGAAGACUGUCUCUACUGCCGUGAGACUGGUGGGAGACAGGCUCGGUCACCAUGGAUGAAAUGAAUACCAUCUGCUGCUGUCCCCACAGAAGGGAACGUGGUAAUGCGGAUGGAGUCAGAACUCAUGACUUAUGACCAGCAAUGCCAGUUCCAGAGCUCUGUCCAGAAGAUGUGCACCAGUCUAUCCUAUUACUCUCCUUGUAAGCAAUCCAAAAGCUCUUGAGGCGGGGCAAGUUGAACCAAUGAGAGCAGAUCCACAGGAGAACCAUGCAGUUGUAAGUGUGAGGAAGAGAUGACUCUCUACCGCAGCAACAGAGCAUCUUAAGGAUACACUUAGGUGAAAAGGAGGACAGAGAACUCUGUAUAGCAUGUCAGAUACUUUUUUCUAGAAAAAGUGUAAAAUGAGUGUAUGUGUGUGUACACAUAUAUGUGUAACUAUACAUACACGCACACAUACAUAUAUACAUUAAUGCAGUGAAAAUGCAAAGCUCGUAGGGUCAGAAUGAGCUGAGGAGAACAGGGACGGAAACUGGACAGGUCCCUGAACACACUUGGCUUUGAGAUUUGACUAUGAAAUUUGCUUAUCUCUAGUGACAGACAAGAAAUGAAAAAAUCCAGCUGUGUUUCUGUAACCUUAUAUCAUGACUUUUGAACCCUCAGCCUCUGCAUGCAGACUUGGCCAACCACAGAAGAGUCUUCCCUUAUUUUUAGUCCCUAAAUGAGAUGGCAUAACACUAUUUAUAUAGCAUUUUGUUAUACAGCCAUUUCCUCUAAAACGAAACCUCCCAUCUUAGUGGGAAGUUCCUUAAGAUUCAAGAUAUUAGAAAGUGAGGUGAAAAAUUCCAUCCUGUGGGGGAUGCUCACAAAAAUACAACUUUCCCUGAGUCAUUUCAGAAGUUACCCUACAUCCAUA